rnacentral:rRNA from 1 species
AGCGAUUUCCUCGCGGCGGCGCUAAGUCGCUAACCCUAUGCCCGAGCUGCUCCUAAAAAAAACUGCUCCGCUGUUCGUCAACGCUGCGCCGCCGCCGUUCUCCGUCCCGGCGGCGAGCUUCGGCAACUGAUCUGCUUCGGCCGUUUUCCAUGGCGGGCCGAUGUCCAAUAGUAAUCUCGCUGCACCGCUCUCUCCGUCUCUCGGUAUCCACAGUCGUCUCUCGUGCGACUUUACUCCUUCCUGUUCGUGCGACUUCAAUCAGAUCGCUAACAGCGGAUUCACGGCGAUCCCUUCUGAAUCCCUCUCCGGCGGCGGGAGCAGGAGUGUGGCGACUUGACCCUUGGAGUUGAGGAGAGGCAACGAGGAUGUGGGCACGAGGGGGCAGUGGAGUCUUCCCGGUGGAGUUGAGGUGAGGCAAAUAGCCAAAGACGACGCUGGGCGUGAGGCGGCGGCGGCGGCCUUAGCUCGUGCUCUCCAUCACUCUUUUUUUUUUUUUGUUGAGGCCUCUUAAAACAUUUCAACCUCCAUCUUGCGCAAAUUAGUCCAUGUCAAAUUGUAAUCCUCCUGAUGUCCUGUCCUGCCGCUCUUCAUUUCCGUAGCUGCUACAAUUCCAACGUUAAGGUCUUGUUGAGGAAGGACGGCAAGCUGAUCAACUGCCGCCUCUGGUUCAGACUACAGGAAACGCUAGGCAAAGAUUAGCAUAACUUGAGGAAUUAUGCUCCCAGCCCUUCUUGUUUGAGAUUCCCCCCUGUGCUCUCUAAUUAUCUCUUAAGAGAGUAAUAUUAUUACUGCAUGCCAAGUGUUUUUGUUAUAAAAAAGUUGUUGAUAUUUACACCUAAAAUAGAUUCUGAACUGAUCCAGGUACAGAUGCAUAUUCCAUGUAAUUCCCAACUGAUACCACUUAUUUAAAGUAAUUCCUAACAGGAAUGAGAAUAUUUGUUUGGUAAGACUUGUGAAUUUUCAUUUUUAAACAUGGGAUAUGCAAUGCAUAUAAUGGAGAUUGUAUUAUUGUGCCCUAUGAAGCAGAUGCACAGAGGACAUUCUUAUCUGUAAACAAACUUAUUAUGGCAUGGUUAUCGGGGAUUCAGAUUAGGAUUUGACACCAUUUGGCUGUUCUGGACAAAGCCGACUGUUACAACCCUUUACUCUGCCCUCAGCAUGUUCCAUAACCCUUCUUUUCUCUCCUUUUUAUGUAUCUUGUUGUAAUAUGCAGAUUAUAACAAGGCGUCGAAUCCCAGAUUACGACGAUUAAAAUGAAACAGGGAGCCAGACUUUAAUGGAUUCAUUUCAUGAAUUUUAUUUGAGAUAUGUAUUUUAACUGGUCGUACCUAUAAAAAGCUUGACCAACAUGCCAUAUAGCAUAUGAUGUAUUUUUUUUGGAAGAACUGUUGAGCAUCAUAGUCAUCCUACAAAAAUAUGUUAGACCGAAAAAAUCCAAAAUAGUAUUCUGUGCAAGCAUAACAAGUUGUUCUAUAAAUGGAUAUAAUAGGCAAACACAAGUUGUACCGGGCUACUAUCGUGUAGUUAAUUAUCAAACAUAUACUCCCUCGGUCCGAAAAAGCUUGUCCCUCAAAUGAAUGCAUCUAAUAUCAAAUUAGUGCUAGAUACAUCCAUCCAAGGGACAAGCUUUUCCGGACGGAGGGAGUAAAUCACAUGUUACAAAUGAGAUAUAUUUUUUAUUUAUCAUUCAACCAAAUGAUCAAUAACUUCUCAGCUUUUAGUGCGAUGAUGUUUUUCUUACAAUGUAGAAACUUCUCCACAAGUUAAUGUCUUAUAUGAUUUCGGGUAAUGAAGCACCUGGGGUACUGUGUUGUUUAUCUUCCACCUCGACAUGAAGGCUGGGCAACUGAGGAGAGGGGUCGCCAUCAUGCAAAGGCAUAGCAAACUAUGUGUCUCCACAUCCACCUGCAUGUUCGGGCUCCAAGAUUGGGCAGACCUCCCGAAGGAUCUGUUGCAAUCAGUAUUCUCUCGCUUAGGCUCGAUCCUUGACCUUCUCGCCUUUGUUGCAACCUGCCGUUCUUGGCGGGUUGCAUUAACUUCAUACUCAUCCAAAUCCACCUUAUGCACUUUAUUCCCGCCUCUCCUCAUCCAACCCAACAUUCGUGUCCAUGUUCCUCAUCCUCCAUGUAACAAUGGUCAUCGCCACUUACAGGCAUAUAAAGUUAUCGAUCCAGCCAAGCAAAGUGCCACCGGCCUUCACUGCCAUAUUGAUGAAGAAAUUUUGCAGACGAUGCGUUGUGCUGGCCCUUCAUAUGGUCAACUCAUCUUCUACAACCGUGGACAUUGCGUUGUUGUUAUUCCUUUUAGAGGUACCAAGGUUUCACCUCCACGUCUCCCAUUGUGUGAUGACUAUAGGAAGCUCAACUGGUCUGAUAUUCCAUUCAAUCAAAAAAUCAUGGAGCUCCAACAACUAGUUACAGAGUCUUACUGCAGCGCCAUUCUAACAGCUCCCCUUGCAUCACCAAACUCGCAUAUGCUUGUUAGCACCGGCCUCUCCUUAUUUAGUUGGCCGGUUGGAAGUGAUACUUGGUCUGAACUCCAGUGUUCUGGUGUACAAAUAAUUCAGAUUGUGGAAUUCAACGGCCAAUUCAUUGCCAUGGACCUUCGUCAACAGAUAUACACUUUGGAGGUGGCCCCCAAGCUUAGACUGCAGGAGAUAACCACUAACCACCCCCCUGACUUGACCAAGAGCUCCCAAGACCCGUCUAAAACAUCAUGGCUAGUGGUCUGCGGUGACAUGCUUCUGAUGUUGGUCCAUUCUUGCACGAGUAUUCACUACAAUGCCAGUGUGCCAUUUGUCCGCACGGUCCAUUACCUUGACAUGUCAACCAAGCCUGCAAAAUGGGUGGAUAUGGAAAAGCUGGACAAUUGGGCCAUCUUCACGGGGAGUGAUAUCAGGAGUACAUCAUUUUCUUGCAUGAACCCAGAACAUUGGGGAGGAAGGAGCAAAUGUCUAUAUGUUGCUCGUUCCCCUAAACCUUGGAGUGAAUAUGGGUUAGGCAAUGAGCCAGAUCCAUCUGUUGAUCCUGUUCAUCAGCACUUCAGGAUCUGGUGCCACCUGAUGCAACCCCUUUGGGUGUACCCGAGCAUGCUCUAUUCGGAUGGCCCUUGAUCAUCAUGUGUACCUACAACUUGUUGGUCUAUAAGCUCAAGCUUAUUGGGAAAUUUCCUCUUCUGCAACUCCGGUAUGAGUUUGAAGAUGUUCAUAGUGACAUUAGCACUCGGAAUUCAACCUUUGCAUUAUAUUUUGGUCCCCCGGUUUCUAAUAUUUUGUAAGAGAUGUUUAUGGUGGUUGUAUUACUGCUUAAGCUGAACCUCCUAGCCUUCUAU